UGAGUAAUGCAUAGAUAAUGUGCCCCUUAGUUCGGGAUAGCCACUGGAAACGGUGAUUAAUACCGGAUACUCCUUCUUGUUAUAAGACAAGUCGGGAAAGUUUUUCGCUAAGGGAUCAGUCUAUGUUCCAUCAGCUUGUUGGUGAGGUAAUGGCUCACCAAGGCUAUGACGGAUAUCUGGUUUGAGAGGAUGAUCAGACACACUGGAACUGAGACACGGUCCAGACUCCUACGGGAGGCAGCAGUGAGGAAUAUUGCACAAUGGAGGAAACUCUGAUGCAGCAACGCCGCGUGGAGGAUGACGCAUUUCGGUGUGUAAACUCCUUUUAUUAGGGAAGAUAAUGACGGUACCUAAUGAAUAAGCACCGGCUAACUCCGUGCCAGCAGCCGCGGUAAUACGGAGGGUGCAAGCGUUACUCGGAAUCACUGGGCGUAAAGGGUGCGUAGGCUGGCUUUUAAGUCAGAUGUGAAAUCCAAUGGCUCAACCAUUGAACUGCAUUUGAAACUGAAAGCCUAGAGUUCAGAAGGGGCAGAUGGAAUUAGUGGUGUAGGGGUAAAAUCCGUAGAUAUCACUAGGAAUAUCAAAAGCGAAGGCGAUCUGCUGGGAUGA
rnacentral:rRNA from 1 species